rnacentral:lncRNA from 1 species
ACACUUCCCAGAGUCGAUGUAGGAUGGAGGCAGGAGGCGCCGCUGAGCAAAAUUUUGUGGAGUUGGGUUCAGGGUCCUGACUCCUGGCCUCCAGUGGCGACAGGACAGCCGACAGCCGCUCUGAGACCUGACCUGGACAAGCACGGCCUCCAGGUCUUGCCACCACUGCUGAUUCGUGUUUGCUAUCCCGAUCUACCAAAGUGGACUGUUGGUAUAUUCUUGAAUCUAGCUGCCACUGCUGAUCAGUAAACUGAACUGUUGAUUUCCUGAUCAUGCAGAUGGGAUUUGCUCCAAAGAACCAUUUCUAAACAGGACCAGUCAAGGCCUAUUUGAGUUCCAGGCAGAAAUGUCUGACACCACCCCACAGACCAAGAUGGCCCACCUCUCACUGACUGAUCAAGGACUGGGAAGGCAGAGGAGGCAGAAUCAUCAACAGAAUGAGAUCUCUUGAAAGGACAUUCAUGACCUAGUUAGUGGCAGACACCCAGGCCACGUGACCUCCACGGGCUUCUCUUUCCUCUAUUCUUAUGACUGUUUUUUUUUUUUUUAUUCUUAAUUUUAACUCUGCUCAGCCUCUUCCCAACCCCCACCCCCACCCCCAAUGUCCCCCACGGGAGAUUCUUAGCUAGGGAGACUUAUGACAAACACAACACAAUCAUAGGAACCCAGGACUGCUCACUUGAAGGAUGAGAUUCCUCUACACACCAAUUCUAUCCCCAGCUCUUUCCUCUUCUUUCCUUACAACACAGGUGAAGGCCUCCAUAUAUGGAGGUGGCAGAUAUUGGAGACACCAAAUUGAAUCCCCCCAGUCAUGGUGGCACCAUGUUCGCCAACCUUAACACUCAUUUUUAGCUUGCCAUCAGUGAUCCCUGGGACGAUGGAUGACAAAUGGGAAUUAUAGGUAAGCUCUACCCUAACAGUUAUGCCAUACUCCAUAGCCAACUUACACAUCUCUUGCCAGCUUGUCCCUGCCUCCAAAUUGGUCUUUACGAACAUUAACAUUAUUCAACAGAAGGCUCAAACUCAAGAAGAGAUCCAAGCCACCCUCUGCUGGCUACAAUAGAAUAUAAUAGAAUUCCUAGAAUUCCUCCUCAUGCAAAUAAGGCAUCCCCAGCACCCUGGCCCAGCCAAUGGUGUACAUUCAUCCUGAAAACCCCUACUCACCCCCAUGCAAAUAGCUUGUGUCUUUCCUAAUAAAUUGAACCAGUUCUCCC